AAAUUGAAGAGUUUGAUCAUGGCUCAGAUUGAACGCUGGCGGCAGGCCUAACACAUGCAAGUCGAACGGUAACAGAAAGCAGCUUGCUGCUUUGCUGACGAGUGGCGGACGGGUGAGUAAUGUCUGGGAAACUGCCUGAUGGAGGGGGAUAACUACUGGAAACGGUAGCUAAUACCGCAUAACGUCGCAAGACCAAAGAGGGGGACCUUCGGGCCUCUUGCCAUCGGAUGUGCCCAGAUGGGAUUAGCUAGUAGGUGGGGUAACGGCUCACCUAGGCGACGAUCCCUAGCUGGUCUGAGAGGAUGACCAGCCACACUGGAACUGAGACACGGUCCAGACUCCUACGGGAGGCAGCAGUGGGGAAUAUUGCACAAUGGGCGCAAGCCUGAUGCAGCCAUGC
rnacentral:rRNA from 1 species